rnacentral:lncRNA from 7 species
ACGACCGUGUAGCCAAAAUCCCAUCCCUUAAUUUCACUCGUGGACGCCACGGCACGAUUUUUCCCCAAUUCCGUCCGCCGCACCGUGAGGAAUAGCCCUCCCGUGGCCAGCCUAUUCUGAAAACGGAGAAGAGAGUGAAGUGAUUGAAGAGAAGACACAACCACCUUUGGACUCUCGGGCAAGGACUUGGCUCUACUUCAACAUCUGCGGGUCCGAGCCUGACUCACCUACUAACGAAGGCAAGCCCCGGUGCAUGCAACCCCUUUCCUUGUGUUUUUAAAAUAAUUUUUGCACACCUUAAGUCUAGUGAAAUGUGCAUUAGGUUUAUAGGAGUUGCUUGAAACCCUUUGAUGCAUUGCUUCCUUGAUAUCCAUACCUUUAUAGAUACUUUUGUGAAGUAUCAAAAUAUGAUUUACAAAAAUGCUUAGCCCUGCUUAGAUCUUGUGGAUAGAGGUUGUCCUUAGCUUAGCUCGAGAAAGGAUGGCUUCUACCUGCAAGAAUAUUUUCAUUUGGAGCAAUGGUGGGAUCUUACUGCAAAGCUCCCUGUGAUGCUCUUUUCAUCCUUGGGAACAGAAACAAUCCUAAGGAUGGAAGUAUGUAAAUCGAGACUUGGGUUAGGAACAGGUGAUGUUCUACCCAGGUUGAUUAAGGAUUAAUGCGUAUGUAGGCUUGAUGAUCGAGGACCCUUUAACUGGUCACAUGCCUCGUCAUGGGUAAGCCUUGCCUCGGGCAGACUAAGGCC